rnacentral:lncRNA from 1 species
ACAGAUGAAUUGUCAGCGCUCUCUGAGCGGCCUCCAAUAAACCAAGUAAUCCUAGGAGUUUGAGGCUUUGGACAUCACUAAUCAACCAAGGCUCUCCCCUACUGCUGCCAGAGGAAACUUCUGAAAGUCAACAUUGCUCAUGUUCCUACUGUUAAAAGUCGUAGAAGGAAGGAAGAAGAAAGGCUGAGAGAUCCACAGUCAAUGAACAUGAGAAGGCAGAGAAAGUUUUUUGUCUCCUGCGGCUCCCAGAGAGCACUUGUUCCAGAGAGCUAUAGCUGGGGUUCAGAAGGCAGAAUCCUGUGGCCUACUUGGAGUAUCUCAACAGGAUAUGGGGAGAGCACAGCCCUCUGAACCUCUGAGAAUCCUCUGAAGAAUCAAAGGGCACAUCAUCAUUGGCAGUGAAGGUGUGUGCUAGCUGACUGACCUUUGUGCCUGGACAGACGGACCCAAGAUACACUCCAAACAGCAGUAAGCACAAUCUGCAUAAAAUAUCAGAGAAAGGUAUCUUAAAUCAGCCCCCAAAUGCAGGUAAGUUUUUACCAGUUUCUCUGAGAUGCUUCAAUCACUGCAGACCUGUUGCCCUUUGACCAUGUUGCCACUAUAAUAAACUUCAAACCCAAUUAAAAGUAUUGCUUUAA